GCGGUAGAGGGCCACAACACAUGCAGUCGUACGAUGGUAGCCUAGCUUGCUAGGGUGGAUUAGUGGCGAACGGGUGAGAAAUACGUGAGGACCUACCUUUAACUCUGGGAUAAGCCUGGGAAACUGGGUCUAAUACCGGAUACGACCAAUCUCCGCAUGGGUGUUGGUGGAAAGCGUUAUGUAGUGGUUAUAGAUGGGCUCACGGCCUAUCAGCUUGUUGGUGAGGUAACGGCUCACCAAGGCGACGACGGGUAGCCGGCCUGAGAGGGUGACCGGCCACACUGGGACUGAGACACGGCCCACACUCCUACGGGAGGCAGCAGUGGGGAAUAUUGCACAAUGGGCGCAAGCUUGUGGCAGCAACGCCCGAGGGGGGAGCACGCCCUUCGGGUUAAAACCCUCUCUUACGCAGGGAAGAAGAAAGAUUAACGCGCACCUGCCAGAGAAACCGCCGCCAAACUACGUGCCAGCAGCCGCGGUAAUACCUAGGGCGCGAGCGCUUGCCGGGAAUUUAUUGGCGUUAAAGAGCUUGAAGCCGUCUUUUGUCGCUUUCUCCUGGUGCGAAACGCCCGGAGCUUAACUCCGGGGUAUUAGCAGUGCGCACGGGCCACCCAGAGAGCCGUAGGAAUGAAAGACUGAAAUUCCCUGCGGUAACGGGUGGAAAUCGCCACCAUAUCAAGGAGGGACACACGAUUGGCGAAGUGGAGCUCUCUUGGGCUGUAACUGCCCUGAGGAUACCGAAAACAUGCGGAGCGAAACAGAAUUAAAAACCCCGAAACUCCAUGCCGUAAACGUUGGGCCCCAGGAUUGAGGGGCAUUUCCCCUGUUUCCCCCCCGGAAGCUAACGCCUUUAAGCGCCCCGCCUGGCGAGCACGGGCCCCAAGGCCUAAAACCAAAAGAAAAUUGACGGCGGGCCACACCAAACGGCAGAGGCAUGCGCGUAUAAUUCGAUGCAAACGCGAAGAACCCUUGACCAAGGCCUGGCACAUAUUCUGGUACCGCCUCAGAGAUUGCGUUUCUCCUGCGGCGCUGAUAUACAGGUGGUGCAUGAUCGUCGUCAGCUCGUGUCGUGAGAUGUUGGGUUAAGUCCCGCAACGAGCGCAACCCUCGUUCUAUGUUGCCAGCACGUUAUGGUGGGGACUCAUAGGAGCCUGCCGGGGCCAACUCGGAGGAAGGUGGGGAUGACGUCAAAUCCAUCAUGCCCCUUAUGUCUUGGGCUUCACGCAUGCUACAAUGGCCGGUACAGAGGGUUGCGAUACUGUGAGGUUGAGCUAAUCCCUAAAAACCGGUCUCAGUUCGGAUUGGCGUCUGCAACUCGCCCCAUGAAGUCGGAGUCGCUAGUAAUCGCAGAUCACAACGCUGCGGUGAAUACGUUCCCGGGCCUUGUACACCCGCCCGUCAAGUCACGAAAGUUGGUAACACCCCAAAGCCGUAGAGUUACCUCUUCGAGGAGCCGUCUUAUAGAGCCCCCUGG
rnacentral:rRNA from 1 species